rnacentral:misc_RNA from 1 species
UACGUAGGUGGCAAGCGUUGUCCGGAAUUAUUGGGCGUAAAGAGCUCGUAGGCGGCUCGGUAAGUCGGAUGUGAAAACUCCAGGCUCAACCUGGAGGGGCCAUUCGAUACUGCCAUGGCUAGAGUCCGGUAGAGGAGUGCGGAAUUCCCGGUGUAGCGGUGAAAUGCGCAGAUAUCGGGAGGAACACCAGUGGCGAAGGCGGCACUCUGGGCCGGAACUGACGCUGAGGAGCGAAAGCGUGGGGAGCAAACAGG